GAUGAACGCUAGCGGCAGGCUUAAUACAUGCAAGUCGAGGGGCAGCAGGAAUAGCAAUAUUUGCUGGCGACCGGCGCACGGGUGCGUAACACGUAUACAAUCUGCCUUUAACAGGGGGAUAGCCCGAAGAAAUUCGGAUUAAUACCCCAUAAUAGAUUUGUCGGCAUCGACAGAUUUNGAAAGCUCCGGCGGUUAAAGAUGAGUAUGCGUCUGAUUAGCUAGUUGGUGAGGUAACGGCUCACCAAGGCGACGAUCAGUAGGGGAUCUGAGAGGAUUAACCCCCACACGGAUACUGAGAUCACGGAUCCGACUCCUACGGGAGGCAGCAGUAAGGAAUAUUGGACAAUGCCCGCAAGGGUGAUCCAGCCAUGCCGCGUGCAGGAAGACGGCCCUAUGGGUUGUAAACUGCUUUUACACCGGAAGAAACCUCCCUUCGUGAGGGAGCUGAUAGUAUGGUGAGAAUAAGC
rnacentral:rRNA from 1 species